GUUGGGUGCUGUGGCCACAUUUUUACUCCUCAUUUGGACGGAGGUGUGCUGGAGACCUUCUUCAGGAUUCCAAAGAUAAAAUGGAAAAGACAACCAAGACCAGCAGGGCCGGGAAGGCAGGUGACCACCGAUGCACUCGACUCCCCCACCACUGCACCUCAACGCUCAGCACAGCCAGAUGUUGUCAACUUCUGAGGAACAGCUGCAGCCCAAGGUCAGACAGAACAAGACAUUUGAAGAUGUCACCUUGGACGCUGGGAAGUCGCAACGCACAUUGUUUCACCACUGUUUGACAUUUCCUAGACUAAACGAUUAAUCAAAACAAUUAGUGUCAGAAUAAUCGAUGAAAGUCAUCGUUUGUAGCAGCCCUAUACCACAUGUGACAACUUGCCUAGUCUGCCUGCCUGUAUGUCUUCUCUGUUUUGCAGAUUCUGGGUGUGGCUUGUAGGUAGAGCUGGGAGGGUCCAAUGCGUCUACCUGCCCAUCUGGGUUGGGCUUCCUAGAGGGCAUAAAAGGGCUGCCUUUCUAGAAAUCACUCACUCUGCUGGCCUGCUGCUUCAACCCCAGCCUUUGUUCCUUUGUUUAAUUUGCUGCACCCACCAACAUGCAUUACACUUCAUUCUCACUCAUCCACACACUU